CCAGUGUUUCGGCGCUCCAGGGGUAGGUAGCCUUGCCCCUUGGCUCCUACUUGGAGUAAGCCCGGCAUGCCUGAACUGAGUUUAUUAUAACCCAAGGCACACCACUGCCCUCUCCCAAAGGUAAAGUUAACACAGGUCGAGUAUUAAACUGAGUCCUGAGACUCGGUCUACUUACACUCCUCCCCUCACCAGGGAGACACUCCCACAAUCUCUGGCGCAGAAAAGAAAGCGCGAAAAAGCUGACUCGAACCACCGAAACUUAUGGGAAAUGUAGUCCGCAGUCAGAAAAGUAGAGGACCGGCCAAUACCGACAGAUUCUGUCCGGUAUUGAGCCGGGGCUUGAUGGAGCCCAGGAGACCUCUGGGAGUGUUAAACCAGCCAAGGGAGUGCGCAGGCGCAGACUUUCUGGCUCGCCAUGGUCGUCUUUGUCUGCCGACCAGUUUCCUUGUGCAUCCCCAGGAACUGCACUUCCUUUACCCAUCAAAUCCUUUAAGGAUCCUUUGGUCUCAGCCUGAAUUAUGGGAUUCUGCUUUGACCCUCAAGAGUAAUGUCCAAGUCCUGUGUCACUGUUUAGAAGUUUAAAGACACCAGUUUAAACAAGAAGAGCAAUGAAUAACUGAGGAAGAAAUGUAAAGGAGGUGCUUUCCAGGUGAGUAAGAAGGAACCCAGAAGGAUGAAUGGGAUAAAGGUUCAUUAAGUUAUUUUUUUAUGAUGUAUCUUUUUUUUUUAAAUGUUUAUUUGUUUUUGAAAGAGAGAGUGUGCACAUGGGGAGGGCAGAGAGAGGGAGACAGAGGAUCCAAAGCAGUUCCACACGGACAGCAGAGAGCCUGAUGUGAGGCUUGAACUCAAACCAGAGAUCAUGACCUAAGCCAAGGUCAGAUGCUUAACCACCCAGGCACCCCUCUUAUAGUUACUCAAACUGCGACCUCUGAAAAAAUUUUUGAGGCAAGUUUUUUUAUAAGCCCAUUGGAGUAACAGUUGCUGGGAAUUCUUUAGAUACCUAAAUAACAUUUCCAGAUUCUCUUGCUUGAUCAUGCUCUUUUUUUUUCUCAGAUUCUGGGGGACUGCUUGCCCCUGUAACCUCUAUUCUGGAUGCUAGCCUCUUUACUUCAUUUGCAGUCUCAAUUUUAUAAAUUGUCUAGCCUAAAUAUUGUGUUUUCCCUUU
rnacentral:lncRNA from 1 species